rnacentral:rRNA from 1 species
GGUUAAGCGACUAAGCGUACACGGUGGAUGCCCUGGCAGUCAGAGGCGAUGAAGGACGUGCUAAUCUGCGAAAAGCGUCGGUAAGGUGAUAUGAACCGUUACAGCCGGCGAUGUCCGAAUGGGGAAACCCAGUGCAAUUCGUUGCACUAUCGUUAACUGAAUACAUAGGUUAACGAGGCGAACCGGGGGAACUGAAACAUCUAAGUACCCCGAGGAAAAGAAAUCAACCGAGAUUCCCCCAGUAGCGGCGAGCGAACGGGGAGCAGCCCAGAGUCUGAAUCAGCUUGUGUGUUAGUGGAACGGUCUGGAAAGUCCGACGGUACAGGGUGAUAGUCCCGUACACCAAAAUGCACAGGUUGUGAACUCGAAGAGUAGGGCGGGACACGUGGUAUCCUGUCUGAAUAUGGGGGGACCAUCCUCCAAGGCUAAAUACUCCUGACUGACCGAUAGUGAACCAGUACCGUGAGGGAAAGGCGAAAAGAACCCCGGCGAGGGGAGUGAAAAAGAACCUGAAACCGUGUACGUACAAGCAGUGGGAGCACCUUCGGGUGUGACUGCGUACCUUUUGUAUAAUGGGUCAGCGACUUAUAUUCUGUAGCAAGGUUAACCGUAUAGGGGAGCCGCAGGGAAACCGAGUCUUAACUGGGCGUUAAGUUGCAGGGUAUAGACCCGAAACCCGGUGAUCUAGCCAUGGGCAGGUUGAAGGUUGGGUAACACUAACUGGAGGACCGAACCGACUAAUGUUGAAAAAUUAGCGGAUGACUUGUGGCUGGGGGUGAAAGGCCAAUCAAACCGGGAGAUAGCUGGUUCUCCCCGAAAGCUAUUUAGGUAGCGCCUCGUGAAUUCAUCUUCGGGGGUAGAGCACUGUUUCGGCUAGGGGGUCAUCCCGACUUACCAACCCGAUGCAAACUACGAAUACCGAAGAAUGUUAUCACGGGAGACACACGGCGGGUGCUAACGUCCGUCGUGAAGAGGGAAACAACCCAGACCGCCAGCUAAGGUCCCAAAGUCAUGGUUAAGUGGGAAACGAUGUGGGAAGGCACAGACAGCCAGGAUGUUGGCUUAGAAGCAGCCAUCAUUUAAAGAAAGCGUAAUAGCUCACUGGUCGAGUCGGCCUGCGCGGAAGAUGUAACGGGGCUAAACCAUGCACCGAAGCUGCGGCAGCGACACUAUGUGUUGUUGGGUAGGGGAGCGUUCUGUAAGCCUGCGAAGGUGACCUGUGAGGGUUGCUGGAGGUAUCAGAAGUGCGAAUGCUGACAUAAGUAACGAUAAAGCGGGUGAAAAGCCCGCUCGCCGGAAGACCAAGGGUUCCUGUCCAACGUUAAUCGGGGCAGGGUGAGUCGACCCCUAAGGCGAGGCCGAAAGGCGUAGUCGAUGGGAAACAGGUUAAUAUUCCUGUACUUGGUGUUACUGCGAAGGGGGGACGGAGAAGGCUAUGUUAGCCGGGCGACGGUUGUC